UGUGUGUGUGUUUGCAGAGGUGGUGUACAGUAUGUGUUAAUGUCUGCAGUUCCACAACAACUGAGGAAGAAGAUCAUGUGAUAUGAUCAAAAGCACCAGAGCUGCUGCUAAAUGGACGUUGAGAUGGAUGCGUUUGGGAACAUCUGCUCCCAGUCAGCUCUGAAGGCCCAACACGUCUGUUAAUGUUGUUCUACAUGUGAUAACACGCGUCGUCUGUCUGCAGUCGACCUCCAGCUGCUUCUGUUCCCACUUCACAUUCACAGCUUCACUUCACUCAUUUCAUAAUGUGUCUUAUUGGCUUUUAUUUCAUGAUAUAAUUUAAUUUUAAAUGUAGUUAUUUUUAUUUAUUUUAAAUAAUAUUUAAUUUACUACAUACAUUCAGCUCUUUCUACAUUGAAACAUUUUGCUAGAAAACUGUUCGGAUGUUGU